GUGGCGCAACCGGUAGCGCUUUUGGUUUUCGUUCAAGAGGUCGCGGGUUCGACCCCGCC
rnacentral:tRNA from 1 species